rnacentral:rRNA from 1 species
CGCAGCCGCGGUAAUUCCAGCUCCAAUAGCGUAUAUUAAAGUUGUUGCAGUUAAAAAGCUCGUAGUUGAAUUUCGGGGUUAGUAGGUUGGUCAUGCCUCUGGUAUGUACUGGUCUCACUGAUUCCUCCUUCCUGAUGAGCCGUAAUGCCAUUAAUUUGGUGUUGCGGGGAAUCAGGACUGUUACUUUGAAAAAAUUAGAGUGUUUAAAGCAGGCUCACGCUUGAAUACAUUAGCAUGGAAUAAUGAAAUAGGACGUUUGAUUCUAUUUUGUUGGUUUCUAGGAUCGACGUAAUGAUUAAUAGGGAUAGUUGGGGGCAUUAGUAUUCAAUUGUCAGAGGUGAAAUUCUUGGAUUUAUUGAAGACUAACUACUGCGAAAGCAUUUGCCAAGGAUGUUUUCAUUAAUCAAGAACGAAAGUUAGGGGAUCGAAGACGAUCAGAUACCGUCGUAGUCUUAACCAUAAACUAUGCCGACUAGGGAUCGGAU